CAAAAGGCUGUAUUCACAGCUAUCCAAGAUUUCAGGAUCACGGAAU
rfam:Dictyocaulus viviparus strain HannoverDv2000 D_viviparus-1.0_Cont64.39, whole genome shotgun sequence.